UGGAAGUAAAAGUCGUAACAAGGUUUCCGUAGGUGAACCUGCGGAAGGAUCAUUACCGAGUUUUCGGGCUUCGGCUCGACUCUCCCACCCUUUGUGAACGUACCUCUGUUGCUUUGGCGGCUCCGGCCGCCAAAGGACCUCCAAACUCCAGUCAGUAAACGCAGACGUCUGAUAAACAAGUUAAUAAACUAAAACUUUCAACAACGGAUCUCUUGGUUCUGGCAUCGAUGAAGAACGCAGCGAAAUGCGAUAAGUAAUGUGAAUUGCAGAAUUCAGUGAAUCAUCGAAUCUUUGAACGCACAUUGCGCCCCUUGGUAUUCCGGGGGGCAUGCCUGUUCGAGCGUCAUUACAACCCUCAAGCUCUGCUUGGAAUUGGGCACCGUCCUCACUGCGGACGCGCCUCAAAGACCUCGGCGGUGGCUGUUCAGCCCUCAAGCGUAGUAGAAUACACCUCGCUUUGGAGUGGUUGGCGUCGCCCGCCGGACGAACCUUCUGAACUUUUCUCAAGGUUGACCUCGGAUCAGGUAGGGAUACCCGCUGAACUUAAGCAUAUCAAUAAGC
rnacentral:rRNA from 1 species